GAAAUCUAUGAAAUUUUGACACAAGGUUUAUGACCACUAAAGGAAGGUUUUGAUUGAUUUUGGGAGUUUUGGUCCCAACUGUUUAGGAAUUAGGGGCCAAUAAAGGGCCCAAAUAAGCAUUAUUCUUGGUUUUUGCACAAUAACUUUAGUAUAAGUAAAUAGAAAUCAAUGAAAUUUAAACACAAGGUUUAUGAACACAAAAGGAAGGUUGGGAUUGAUUUUGGGAGUUGAGGUCCCAACAGUUUAGGAAUUAGGGGCCAAAAAGGGCCCACAUAAGCAUUUUUCUUGGUUUUCGCACAAUAACUUUAGUAUAAGUAAAUAGAAAUCAAUGAAAUUUAAACACAAG
rnacentral:lncRNA from 1 species